AACGAACGCUGGCGGCAGGCGUAACACAUGCAAGUCGAACGCCCCGCAAGGGGAGUGGCAGAUGGGUGAGUAACGCGUGGGAACAUACCCUUUUCUACGGAAUAGCUCUGGGAAACUGGAAUUAAUACCGUAUACGCCCUACGGGGGAAAGAUUUAUCGGGGAAGGAUUGGCCCGCGUUGGAUUAGCUAGUUGGUGGGGUAAAGGCCUACCAAGGCGACGAUCCAUAGCUGGUCUGAGAGGAUGAUCAGCCACAUUGGGACUGAGACACGGCCCAAACUCCUACGGGAGGCAGCAGUGGGGAAUAUUGGACAAUGGGCGCAAGCCUGAUCCAGCCAUGCCGCGUGAGUGAUGAAGGCCUUAGGGUUGUAAAGCUCUUUCACCGAUGAAGAUAAUGACGGUAGUCGGAGAAGAAGCCCCGGCUAACUUCGUGCCAGCCGCCGCUGUAAAAC
rnacentral:rRNA from 1 species